rnacentral:rRNA from 1 species
UACGUAGGGUGCGAGCGUUGUCCGGAAUUAUUGGGCGUAAAGAGCUCGUAGGCGGUCUGUCGCGUCGAUCGUGAAAACCCGGGGCUCAACUCCGGGCCUGCAGUCGAUACGGGCUGGCUUGAGUGCGGUAGGGGAGACUGGAAUUCCUGGUGUAGCGGUGAAAUGCGCAGAUAUCAGGAGGAACACCGGUGGCGAAGGCGGGUCUCUGGGCCGUAACUGACGCUGAGGAGCGAAAGCGUGGGGAGCGAACAGG